rnacentral:rRNA from 1 species
CAAUGGCGUAUAUUAAAGUUGUUGCGGUUAAAAAGCUCGUAGUUGGAUUUCUGCUGAGAACGACCGGUCCGCCCUUUGGGUGUGUAUCUGGCUCUUUCUUGGCAUCUUCUUGGUGAACGUUGCUGCACUUGACUGUGUGGAGCGCUACCCAGGACUUUUACUUUGAGGAAAUUAGAGUGUUUCAAGCAGGCAUACGCCUUGAAUACAUUAGCAUGGAAUAAUAAGAUAGGACCUCGGUUCUAUUUUGUUGGUUUCUAGAGCUGAGGUAAUGAUUAAUAGGGAUAGUUGGGGGCAUUCGUAUUUAACUGUCAGAGGCGAAAUUCUUGGAUUUGUUAAAGACGGACUACUGCGAAAGCAUUUGCCAAGGAUGUUUUCAUUGA